rfam:Blumeria graminis f. sp. hordei DH14, WGS project CATH01000000 data, contig: 013411
GGCCAGUUAUUGUAGUGGGCAUCACGUCGGAUUCUGAUUAGUUGAAUUCCGGAAACGCUGGUUCGAUUCCGGCACAGGUCU